CUCACAUCUUGCCUGGGCAGCUUGUGGAGUGGGGGCUUCCCCAGAAAUAAUUCCCCGGCUCCGAGACCAGGCCUCUGGAGUGGGACCUCCGGGACCUUGGAGAGGACUUGGCUCAGGCCAGGAAACAAGAGGAGGAAGAGAGUCAGUCCCAAAGGUAUUCUCCUGGUCUAACAGACAAACAACAACCUCACAAGUAUUCAUGCUUUCUGGAAGGCAGGUGCUCUAGGGAGAAGAGCGAUGGCCACGUGGAGGCAUGAGGACCCCAGAUGAGAGAAAGAAAGACUUUGGUGAAAGUAGUGGAAUUCACCUCUGUGGACUCCUCCAUAGUUCCUGGUCUGCACUGUUCCACCUUGCCCUGAGUUGGAAAUGUGGAGAUGUAGCUGGUAUCUUGGGUCCUGCCUUCUCAAGGAUGUCGGAGCAUAGUUAUCUUGGUUUGGACAAGCUCUAUGGUCAUCCCAGAGAAUGGUGUUUUGCAGCCUCUUCAAUAGGUGACCAUGCUGCUGGAGACCUCCCACACCACGAGCUCACUCACUAUCACCAAUUGUGACCACUACCCCACUCCGAGCCCUGGUUACCUGGAAGGGUGUCCAGCAGCUCUGUGCCCAGUGCUUCGGUCACCAUGCUGCCAAGAGCAACACAACAAUACUCCCCUCGACUCACCCAUAAAACACAGGCUCACCAACAUAUCUGUUUCUUCCUUCUGCAUCAAACCUAGGGCUUCCCACCUUCAUCAAUACUUAGAAAAAUGUUAUCUCAAUGUGUUUGGGUCUGAAAGGCAGGGGUGGAUCGCCUUGUCCUGGAGUUCUGAGGUCUGCCCUCCAGCCAUAAGAACUCAGAAUGAGAAAGAGGCUGGGGGACAUCCCCAAAUGAACCCUCCUACCUGUACACUCCCCCCCUCCCACCUCCAUGCCGCAGACUGACUGGAAGAGAAGACAGCAGUCCUCAAGGCAGAGAACAAGAAGGACUGUGGAGGAGAUUUGCAAUGUGCUUGGACUGAGGAAAACAGAUGUGGUGGAAUAGUAUUGUGCCUCAUUCUGUCUGUUGGCAGCAGUAUCGCUGCCUCCAUAAAAAAAA